rnacentral:rRNA from 1 species
AAGCCCCAGUAAACGGCGGCCGUAACUAUAACGGUCCUAAGGUAGCGAAAUUCCUUGUCGGGUAAGUUCCGACCCGCACGAAAGGCGUAAUGAUUUGAGCGCUGUCUCGACAAUGCAUCCGGUGAAAUUGAAGUACCAGUGAAGAUGCUGGUUACCUGCGCCAGGACGGAAAGACCCCAUGGAGCUUUACUCCAGCUUGAUACUGGGAUUCGGUACUGCAUGUACAGGAUAGGUGGGAGGCAAUGAAUCAUGGACGCCAGUCUGUGAGGAGCCGCUGUUGGGAUACCACCCUUGCGGUAUUGGAUUUCUAACCUGCAGCCAUGACCUGGCUGGGGGACAAUGUCAGGCGGGGAGUUUGACUGGGGCGGUCGCCUCCGAAAGGGUAUCGGAGGCGCUCAAAGGUUCCCUCAGAAUGGUUGGAAACCAUUCGAAGAGUGCAAAGGCAGAAGGGAGCUUGACUGCGAGACCGACGGGUCGAGCAGGUACGAAAGUAGGACUUAGUGAUCCGGUGGUAUGAAAGUGGGAUUGCCAUCGCUCAACGGAUAAAAGCUACCCUGGGGAUAACAGGCUUAUCACUCCCAAGAGUUCACAUCGACGGAGUGGUUUGGCACCUCGAUGUCGGCUCAUCGCAUCCUGGAGCUGUAGCAGGUUCCAAGGGUUGGGCUGUUCGCCCAUUAAAGCGGUACGCGAGCUGGGUUCAGAACGUCGUGAGACAGUUCGGUCCCUAUCCGGCGCGGGCGGAGGAUAUUUGAGAGGAGCUGUCCUUAGUACGAGAGGACCGGGAUGGACGGACCACUGGUGUAUCUGUUGUCGACCAACGGCAUGGCAGAGUAGCCAAGUCUGGAAGGGAUAAACGCUGAAGGCAUCUAAGCGUGAAGCCCCCCUCAAGAUGAGAUAUCCCAUUCGAAAGAAGUAAGACCCCUUGAAGACGACGAGGUAGAUAGGGCAGAGGUGGAAGUGCAGUAAUGCAUGGAGCUGACUGUUACUAAUCGGUCGAGGGCUUAUCCAG